CUUGCUUCUCUUGAGAGCGGCGGACGGGUGAGUAAUACCUGGGAAUCUGCCUGAUAGUGGGGGAUAACGUUCGGAAACGGACGCUAAUACCGCAUACGUCCUACGGGAGAAAGCAGGGGAUCUUCGGACCUUGCGCUAUCAGAUGAGCCCAGGUCGGAUUAGCUUGUUGGUGAGGUAACGGCUCACCAAGGCGACGAUCCGUAACUGGUCUGAGAGGAUGAUCAGUCACACUGGAACUGAGACACGGUCCAGACUCCUACGGGAGGCAGCAGUGGGGAAUAUUGGACAAUGGGCGAAAGCCUGAUCCAGCCAUGCCGCGUGUGUGAAGAAGGUCUUCGGAUUGUAAAGCACUUUAAGUUGGGAGGAAGGGUUGUAGUUUAAUACGCUGCAAUCUUGACGUUACCGACAGAAUAAGCACCGGCUAACUCUGUGCCAGCAGCCGCGGUAAUACAGAGGGUGCAAGCGUUAAUCGGAAUUACUGGGCGUAAAGCGCGCGUAGGUGGCUAAGUAAGAUGGGUGUGAAAUCCCCGGGCUCAACCUGGGAACUGCAUCCAUAACUGCUUAGCUAGAGUACGGUAGAGGGUAGUGGAAUUUCCUGUGUAGCGGUGAAAUGCGUAGAUAUAGGAAGGAACACCAGUGGCGAAGGCGACUACCUGGACUGAUACUGACACUGAGGUGCGAAAGCGUGGGGAGCA
rnacentral:rRNA from 1 species